UGGCUCAGGAUGAACGCUGGCGGCGUGCCUAACACAUGCAAGUCGAACGAAGCAUAUCUGACGGAGAUUCGUCGAAGCCGGAUAUGACUUAGUGGCGGACGGGUGAGUAAUGUAUGAGCAACCUGCCUUUCAGAGGGGGACAACAGUUGGAAACGACUGCUAAUACCGCAUAAUGUAUUUGGGUGGCAUCACCUGAAUACCAAAGGAGCAAUCCGCUGAAAGAUGGGCUCAUAUCUGAUUAGCUUGUUGGCGGGGUAACAGCCCACCAAGGCGACGAUCAGUAGCCGGACUGAGAGGUUGAACGGCCACAUUGGGACUGAGAUACGGCCCAGACUCCUACGGGAGGCAGCAGUGGGGAAUA
rnacentral:rRNA from 1 species